CCGGCGGACGGCUCAGUAACACGUCGGUAACCUACCCUCGGGAGGGGGAUAACCCCGGGAAACUGGGGCUAAUCCCCCAUAGGCCUGGGGUACUGGAAGGUCCCCAGGCCGAAAGGGGCUCUGCCCGCCCGAGGAUGGGCCGGCGGCCGAUUAGGUAGUUGGUGGGGUAACGGCCCACCAAGCCGAAGAUCGGUACGGGCCAUGAGAGUGGGAGCCCGGAGAUGGACACUGAGACACGGGUCCAGGCCCUACGGGGCGCAGCAGGCGCGAAACCUCCGCAAUGCGGGCAACCGCGACGGGGGGACCCCCAGUGCCGUGGCACAGCCACGGCUUUUCCGGAGUGUAAAAAGCUCCGGGAAUAAGGGCUGGGCAAGGCCGGUGGCAGCCGCCGCGGUAAUACCGGCGGCCCAAGUGGUGGCCGCUAUUAUUGGGCCUAAAGCGUCCGUAGCCGGGCCCGUAAGUCCCUGGCGAAAUCCCACGGCUCAACCGUGGGGCUUGCUGGGGAUACUGCGGGCCUUGGGACCGGGAGAGGCCGGGGGUACCCCUGGGGUAGGGGUGAAAUCCUAUAAUCCCAGGGGGACCGCCAGUGGCGAAGGCGCCCGGCUGGAACGGGUCCGACGGUGAGGGACGAAGGCCAGGGGAGCGAACCGGAUUAGAUACCCGGGUAGUCCUGGCUGUAAAGGAUGCGGGCUAGGUGUCGGGCGAGCUUCGAGCUCGCCCGGUGCCGGAGGGAAGCCGUUAAGCCCGCCGCCUGGGGAGUACGGCCGCAAGGCUGAAACUUAAAGGAAUUGGCGGGGGAGCACUACAAGGGGUGGAGCGUGCGGUUUAAUUGGAUUCAACGCCGGGAACCUCACCGGGGGCGACGGCAGGAUGAAGGCCAGGCUGAAGGUCUUGCCGGACGCGCCGAGAGGAGGUGCAUGGCCGCCGUCAGCUCGUACCGUGAGGCGUCCACUUAAGUGUGGUAACGAGCGAGACCCGCGCCCCCAGUUGCCAGUCCUCCCCGCUGGGGAGGAGGCACUCUGGGGGGACCGCCGGCGAUAAGCCGGAGGAAGGAGCGGGCGACGGUAGGUCAGUAUGCCCCGAAACCCCCGGGCUACACGCGCGCUACAAUGGGCGGGACAAUGGGAUCCGACCCCGAAAGGGGAAGGGAAUCCCCUAAACCCGCCCUCAGUUCGGAUCGCGGGCUGCAACUCGCCCGCGUGAAGCUGGAAUCCCUAGUACCCGCGUGUCAUCAUCGCGCGGCGAAUACGUCCCUGCUCCUUGCACACACCGCCCGUCACUCCACCCGAGCGGGGUCCGGGUGAGGCCUGGUCUCCCUUCGGGGAGGCCGGGUCGAGCCUGGGCUCCGUGAGGGGGGAGAAGUCGUAACAAGGUAGC
rnacentral:rRNA from 1 species